rnacentral:rRNA from 1 species
CCUGCCCAAGAGAUCGGGAUAACACCUGGAAACAGAUGCUAAUACCGGAUAAUAACAGAUGAUGCCUAUCAACUGUUUAAAAGAUGGUUCUGCUAUCACUCUUGGAUGGACCUGCGGUGCAUUAGCUAGUUGGUAGGGUAACGGCCUACCAAGGCGAUGAUGCAUAGCCGAGUUGAGAGACUGAUCGGCCACAUUGGGACUGAGACACGGCCCAAACUCCUACGGGAGCAGCAGCG